GUGAAUCAUCGAAUUUUUGAACGCAAAUUGCACUCUCCUCGGAGAGUAUGCCUGUUUGAGGGUCAGCCUAUAAAAAAUCAACAUGGUUGCUGUUUCGCGGUGGCGUCCGUGGGAAAUUGGGCAAUCUUAAACCUUUUGGUUUUAAGCGACUUAAAAUUUUCUUUUUGGUUCCAUGAAUGUCUCUAAGAUAUAUUUCUUUACACGUUUCAUGUAUAGUUUUUUAUUAGACGUGACCAUCAU
rnacentral:misc_RNA from 1 species